rnacentral:rRNA from 1 species
UACGUAGGUGGCAAGCGUUAUCCGGAAUUAUUGGGCGUAAAGCGCGCGCAGGCGGUUUCUUAAGUCUGAUGUGAAAGCCCACGGCUCAACCGUGGAGGGUCAUUGGAAACUGGGGAACUUGAGUGCAGAAGAGAAAAGCGGAAUUCCACGUGUAGCGGUGAAAUGCGUAGAGAUCCGGAGGAACACCAGGGGCGAAGGCGGCCGACUGGCCGAGUGCUGACGCUGAGGCGCGACGGCGUGGGGAGCAAACCGG